rnacentral:rRNA from 1 species
CCUACGGGACGCAGCAGUGGGGAAUAUUGCACAAUGGGGGGAACCCUGAUGCAGCGACGACGCGUGAAGGAAGAAGUAUUUCGGUAUGUAAAGCUCUAUCAGCAGGGAAGAAGAUGACGGUACCUGACUAAGAAGCCCCGGCUAACUACGAGCCAGCAGCCGCGGUAAUACGAAGGGGGCAAGCGUUAUCCGGAUUUACUGGGUGUAAAGGGAGCGUAGAGGGCAGGGCAAGUCAGAAGUGAAA